AAGUUUACUCAAGCAAAAAGCAUUUUAGUUUGAAAUCCCGAAACUAGACGAGCUACCCCAGGACAGCCUAAUAUUAGGGCACACCCGUCUCUGUGGCAAAAGAGUGGGAAGAUCCUUGGGUAGAGGUGAUAAACCUACCGAGCCUAGUUAUAGCUGGUUGCCUGGGAACUAAAUAUAAGUUUAGCCUCUUGUAUUCUUAUACCAAUAAUGGACACCCCUAAUUUUAGGUUUUGAGAAGACACUGAGAGUUAUUCAAAAGGGGGACAGCCCUUCUGAACCAAGAUACAACUUUCUUAGCUGGAUAAUAAUUAUAUAUCAUAAAGUUAAUGCUUAGGUGG
rnacentral:rRNA from 1 species